rnacentral:rRNA from 1 species
UACGUAGGGUGCAAGCGUUGUCCGGAAUUAUUGGGCGUAAAGAGCUCGUAGGCGGUUUGUCGCGUCGGCUGUGAAAACCCGGAGCUCAACUCCGGGCCUGCAGUCGAUACGGGCAGACUGGAGUUCGGCAGGGGAGACUGGAAUUCCUGGUGUAGCGGCGAAAUGCGCAGAUAUCAGGAGGAACACCGGUGGCGAAGGCGGGUCUCUGGCCCGAUACUGACGCUGAGGCACGAAAGCGUGGGGAGCAAACAGG